rnacentral:rRNA from 1 species
UACGUAGGUGGCGAGCGUUAUCCGGAUUUACUGGGUGUAAAGGGCGUGUAGGCGGGACUGCAAGUCAGAUGUGAAAACUCAGGGCUCAACCCUGAGCCUGCAUUUGAAACUGUAGUUCUUGAGUACUGGAGAGGCAGGCGGAAUUCCCUGUGUAGCGGUGAAAUGCGUAGAUAUAGGGAGGAACACCAGUGGCGAAGGCGGCCUGCUGGACAGCAACUGACGCUGAGGCGCGAAAGCGUGGGGAGCAA